GUUCUCUUAUCUGUCCGUUGUUCUUGGCUGAUCUCGAAUCAGAUUUUAUCGCUGAAUUACUGAACUACAAGAAAGUAUCAGUCCCAGCACAGUGUAUUAGAGCUCAGCUGGUCUCCCGAUCAAGUUUUGAGUAAUUUUAUUGAUAAUUUAUGGUAUCAUCUUCCUACAAGAAUAUCAACAACGACCGAUGCUCUUACUACCUGCAUGCCAAAAUAUAAUGGACCAGGAGUAAAAUUAUCGUAUAUACAUUAUUAUUAAUAAUUACGAAUUGCUUAGUUGACUGUUCGCAAUUAACCAUUGUAUUCUACACAAAUAAAUUAAAUAAGUGUGGGUUUCGGACUACUAUAAAUGAUUGUUUCAAUAUAUAUGUUCAACUCCAAGCUUGAUACCGAACUGAGAACUCGAUAGUAGAGCUCCACUUACUGUCCCUAAGAUAUGGAUAACAUUGAGAUAAUGUUUUAGCUAAACGAUUCCCUUCCGUAUCAAAGUGAUGUGGGGACCGGAGAUCAGAAUAUUUUAUUAAUGCAUGUAAAAUAACGGAACUUAAUGUAGCGCCGAUGAUAAAACAUAUUUCUAGUGCCAUGCGUAAAUAUAGGAGAUUCGGAAUAUAACAAUUACUCGAUAACGCCGAACAUAGUACAGAUUUCCACGGACUUCGUUGAAAAAUUUGCCUCGGGUGCUUGGCUUGAAGUCAAAAAGCUGAUUAUGCUUUGUUAGCUUUAAAACUAUUCAUGAUACAGCUGAACGAACGCUGGACUUUUAAAUAUCCCGAAGGUAAGCAACAAGGCGUUAAAUAUGUUCGCAUUCAGAAAACAACUUCCACUCACCUUGAUUUAAAAUACUAAGCACAACGUACUGUCAACCUGACAAAAUAGAAUUCAAUUAAUAAAAUUUAUUUCCAACGAAUUUAAGCAUCAGAUCCAGUCGACUAAAAUUUUCAAUAUAAAUAAAAGCAA